UUUGUAACGACGUGUGUUUUUUACAUAUUUCACUUUGUUUUUCAGCUUUCAACUGGAGGAAAAUUGGUUUUAAGGUUUAAAGGAUUGUGAAGACCUUCAAUAAAAGUACAAAAGCACUGCACUGACCUUUCCGGCCUGAGACCAAUCUUGCCCAACAGUGGUGUUUGGAACUCAUCAGCUCAAAGAUUAGUGUAGUGCACUGGCACUGUGCCCCUAACAUCGAUUGGACAAGAUGGGCUUCUGUUUACAAUAAUGUAGUUAAAUAAAAAUGUUUUGAUAAAA